GAGUUUGAUCAUGGCUCAGAUUGAACGCUGGCGGUAUGCAUAACACAUGCAAGUCGAACGGUAGCAGGCUCGGGAAACCGAGUGCUGACGAGUGGCGGACGGGUGAGUAAUGCGUAGGGAUUUGCCUAGUAGAGGGGGAUAACCUGGGGAAACUCAGGCUAAUACCGCAUAUGCCUAAGGGUGAAAGAGGGGGACCGUAAAAGGCCUCUUGCUACUGGAUGAACCUGCGUAGGAUUAGCUAGUUGGUAGGGUAAAGGCCUACCAAGGCGAAGAUCCUUAACUGGUCUGAGAGGACGACCAGUCACACUGGGACUGAGACACGGCCCAGACUCCUACGGGAGGCAGCAGUGGGGAAUAUUGGACAAUGGGCG
rnacentral:rRNA from 1 species